CAUGUCAGCGCACUUUGCUGACGUGGACACAAACCGCGCUUACGUCGACGCGAUUUGAUGCCAUGUCAGCAAAGUGCGCUGACGUAA
rfam:Gossypium raimondii Chr02_contig_584, whole genome shotgun sequence.